CCAGACUCCUACGGGAGGCAGCAGUGAGGAAUAUUGGUCAAUGGGCGGGAGCCUGAACCAGCCAUGCCGCGUGAAGGCGAGUGCCCUACGGGCGUUAAACUUCUUUUGUGCGGGAGCAAUAAGGGCCACGCGUGGCCCGAUGAGAGUACCGCACGAAUAAGCAUCGGCUAACUCCGUGCCAGCAGCCGCGGUAAUACGGGGGAUGCGAGCGUUAUCCGGAUUUAUUGGGUUUAAAGGGUGCGCAGGCGGCGUGUCAAGUCAGCGGUAAAAUGUCGGGGCUCAACCCCGGCCGGCCGUUGAAACUGGCAUGCUCGAGUUGGAGAGAAGUAUGCGGAAUUCGUGGUGUAGCGGUGAAAUGCAUAGAUAUCACGAAGAACCCCGAUUGCGAAGGCAGCAUACCGGCUCCACACUGACGCUGAGGCACGAAAGCGUGGGUAUCGAACAGGAUUAGAUACCCUGGUAA
rnacentral:rRNA from 1 species